AUCCACCAAAUUGCGUCUAUGUCCUGCGAACCAGCCAAGGGAGUGUGGGCCAACUAUUGUUGGUGAUGAAUGGAGCGAUCCAGAAUUGAUGGAAUCUCUUAGUGCUACUCUCUCUAAACAACUGGGAAAUAAUUUCUUGGAAUAUAAAACAUAUGAUCCAGUCAGGAUAGUUUUAAA